rnacentral:rRNA from 1 species
UACGAAGGGGGCUAGCGUUGCUCGGAAUCACUUGGCGUAAAGCGCACGUAGGCGGAUUACUAAGUCAGGGGUGAAAUCCUGGAGCUCAACUCCAGAACUGCCUUUGAUACUGGCGAUCUCGAGUCCGGGAGAUGUGAGUGGAACUGCGAGUGUAGAGGUGAAAUUCGUAGAUAUUCGCAAGAACACCAGUGGCGAAGGCGGCUCACUGGCCCGGUACUGACGCUGAGGUGCGAAAGCGUGGGGAGCAAACAGG